CUGCUCGCUUCGGCAGCACAUAUACUAAAAUUGGAACGAUACAGAGAGGAUUAGCAUGGCCCCUGUGCAAGGAUGACGUGCAAAUUCGUGAAGCGUUUUUUUAAUUU
rnacentral:snRNA from 1 species